GGGCCCGCACAAGCGGUGGAGUAUGUGGUUUAAUUCGAUGCAACGCGAAGAACCUUACCAGGGCUUGACAUCCUGCGAACCUCUGGGAAACCGGAGGGUGCCUUCGGGAACGCAGUGACAGGUGGUGCAUGGCUGUCGUCAGCUCGUGUCGUGAGAUGUUGGGUUAAGUCCCGCAACGAGCGCAACCCACGUCUUUAGUUGCCAGCAUUUAGUUGGGCACUCUAGAGAGACCGCCGGUGACAAACCGGAGGAAGGUGUGGAUGACGUCAAGUCAUCAUGCCCCUUACGUCCUGGGCUACACACGUACUACAAUGCUACGGACAAAGGGCAGCAAGUUCGCGAGGACAAGCAAA
rnacentral:rRNA from 1 species